rnacentral:rRNA from 1 species
UACGGAGGGAGCUAGCGUUGUUCGGAAAUACUGGGCGUAAAGCGCACGUAGGCGGCGCAGCAAGUCAGGGGUGAAAUCCCGGGGCUCAACCCCGGAACUGCCCUUGAAACUGCAGUGCUAGAAUCUUGGAGAGGCGAGUGGAAUUCCGAGUGUAGAGGUGAAAUUCGUAGAUAUUCGGCGGAACACCAGUGGCGAAGGCGGUUCUCUGGGCAUUACCUGACGCUGAGGAGCGAAAGCGUGGGGAGCGAACAGG